GGAUGAGCCUGCGUCGGAUUAGCUAGUUGGUGGGGUAAUGGCCUACCAAGGCGACGAUCCGUAGCGGGUCUGAGAGGGUGAUCCCCCACACUGGUACUGAGACACGGACCAGACUCCUACGGGAGGCAGCAGUAAGGAAUAUUGGUCAAUGGGCGCAAGCCUGAACCAGCCACGCCGCGUGAAGGAUGACGGCCCUAUGGGUUGUAAACUUCUUUUCUACGGGAAUAAACCUCAUCACGUGUGAUGAGCUGAAGGUACUGUAGGAAUAAGCAUCGGCUAACUCCGUGCCAGCAGCCGCGGUAAUACGGAGGAUGCAAGCGUUAUCCGGAUUCAUUGGGUUUAAAGGGUGCGUAGGCGGGACGGUAAGUCAGGGGUGAAAGCCAACAGCUCAACUGUUGAAUUGCCUUUGUUACUGCCGUUCUUGAGUGUGGUUGAAGUGGGCGGAAUUUGACAUGUAGCGGUGAAAUGCGUAGAUAUGUCAAGGAACACCGAUUGCGAAAGCAGCUCACUAAGCCAUUACUGACGCUGAGGCACGAAAGCGUGGGG
rnacentral:rRNA from 1 species